CCACAUGAAGUCUUAAGAUGC
rnacentral:siRNA from 1 species